CGGACGGGUGAGUAACGCGUGAGAAUUCGCCUUCAGGCGGGGAAUAACCAUCGGAAACAAUGGCUAAUGCCCCAUAUGCUCGCAAGAGUGAAAGGAGCAAUCCACCUAAAGAGAAGCUCGCGGCUGAUUAGCUAGUUGGUAAGGUAAUGGCUUACCAAGGCGACGAUCAGUAGCUGGUUUGAGAGAACGAUCAGCCACACUGGAACUGAGACACGGUCCAGACUCCUACGGGAGGCAGCAGUGGGGAAUUUUCCGCAAUGGGCGAAAGCCUGACGGAGCAAUACCGCGUGAGGGAUGAAGGCCCUUGGGUUGUAAACCUCUUUUAUCAAGGAGGAAGUUCUGACGUGUACUUGAUGAAUAAGCAUCGGCUAACUCCGUGCCAGCAGCCGCGGUAAGACGGAGGAUGCAAGUGUUAUCCGGAAUCACUGGGCGUAAAGCGUCUGUAGGUGGUUUGAAAAGUCCACUGUUAAAAAUUGAGGCUUAACCUCAAAGAUGCCGUGGAAACUUUCAAACUCGAGUAUGGUAGGGGUAGAGGGAAUUUCCAGUGGAGCGGUGAAAUGCGUAGAUAUUGGAAAGACCACCGAUGGCGAAGGCACUCUACUGGGCCAUUACUGACACUGAGAGACGAAAGCUAGGGGAGCAAAUGGGAUUAGAUACCCCAGUAGUC
rnacentral:rRNA from 1 species